GAUGAAGAACGUAGUGAAAUGCGAUAAUUAAUGUGAAUUGCAGAAUUCAGUGACUCAUCGAGUCUUUGAACGCACAUUGCGCCCCCUGGUAUUCCGGGGGGCAUGCCUGUCCGAGCGUCAUUGCUGCCCUCAAGCACGGCUUGUGUGUUGGGCUUCCGUCCCUGGCAACGGGGACGGGCCCAAAAGGCAGUGGCGGCACCAUGUCUGGUCCUCGAGCGUAUGGGGCUUUGUCACCCGCUCCCGUAGGUCCAGCUGGCAGCUAGCCUCGCAACCAAUCUUUUUAACCAGGUUGACCUCGGAUCAGGUAGGGAUACCCGCUGAACUUAAGCAUAUCAAUAAGCGGAGGA
rnacentral:misc_RNA from 1 species